rnacentral:lncRNA from 1 species
UUUUCACAUCCACACUGGGACACAUACAGAAAAGCUAAAUGGACAUACCACCUAACAGCAAUAUCUCUUGUCUUCCACUCUUUGUCACUGCAUAAGAGCCAGCCCAUCUGGAUGAUCCACGCAAUCACCGGGGAACUUGCUCGUCAUCUUCCUCGCAAUAGGCGAUCGAUUUGCCGGCUUGCCAUGGCUGCACGCACCAAAGGCCUCGCUCUGGGGUGAGUCUUUCUUUCAAUUCCUCGCAACAUAGCAUGUGCUUGCUUGGUUGUUGGGUCUGAUGGAAAUGUCGUCUUGCGAUGCAGCAGACGCGCCCCAUGCCGCUGCUGUUCCCAUUGAUCUAGGAUCACUCCGGUCUUUCCUUUCAUGCUGAGCAAGUUCGCCUUCUGUACUUGAGUAAAACCCCUCAACUUUGUUGCCAGAUAUUUCUUUCUGGUUGCCCGUUUACCCAAGAAGCUAUAGAAAAAGGUAACCUCAUUAUUUCAUUUUUUCAGAUUCAGUGAUCCAGUAUGGUCUUGUGGCAAAACACAUGCAAAAUAACAUACUAGCUAGAUAUGUGCUCCUCUCUUACAAAUAUACUCUACUUUAUGAGUCAGGCUGUGUUUAGUUCAGUGCAAAGUUUGGAUUUUGGUUGAAAUUGGAGAUGAUGUGACUGAAAAGUUGUGUGUGUAUGACAUGUUGAUGUGAUGAAAAAGGACUGAAGUUUGGAUCCAAACUUUGGAUCUAAACACAGCCUCAGUCAGACAGUAAGACAAAUAAUUCAGUUCGGUCUCUAGCUAUGAUGGUCCGUGCAUGUCAUCGAAUGCAUUUAUGCACACUCAUAAAGUUUGAGUUGUCAGUGUUCAUACUCCAGUAACUGAAAAACAUCACAGGGCAAGCUAUAAGUCA